UUUGAUCCUGGCUCAGGAUGAACGCUAGCGGGAGGCUUAACACAUGCAAGUCGAGGGGCAGCACGGACUUCGGUCUGGUGGCGACCGGCGCACGGGUGCGUAACGCGUAUGCAACCUACCUUAUACAGAGGGAUAGCCCAUGGAAACGUGGAUUAAUACCUUAUGGUACUAUAAAGCUGCAUAGUUUAAUAGUUAAAACUUCGGUGGUAUAAGAUGGGCAUGCGUAGGAUUAGCUAGUAGGUAGUGUAACGGACUACCUAGGCAACGAUCCUUAGGGGUUCUGAGAGGAUUAUCCCCCACACUGGUACUGAGACACGGACCAGACUCCUACGGGAGGCAGCAGUGAGGAAUAUUGGUCAAUGGACGAGAGUCUGAACCAGCUAUCCCGCGUGCAGGAUGACGGCCCUAUGGGUUGUAAACUGCUUUUCUACGCCAAGAAAUCUGAUUACGUGUAAUUGGUUGACGGUAGCGUAGGAAUAAGCAUCGGCUAACUCCGUGCCAGCAGCCGCGGUAAUACGGAGGAUGCAAGCGUUAUCCGGAUUCAUUGGGUUUAAAGGGUGCGCAGGCGGGCUUGUAAGUCAGUGGUGAAAUACUGCCGCUCAACGGUAGAAACUGCAAUUGAAUACUGCAAGUCUUGAAUAUGGGUUGAGGUAGGCGGGAAUGUGUCGUGUAGCGGUGAAAUGCAUAGAUAUGACACAUCAACCGCCCAAUUGCAAAUGCAGCUUACUAAGCCAAUAUUGACGCUGAAGCACGAAAGCGUGGGAAUCUAACAGGAUUACAUACCCCUGGUAUUCCACGCCGUAA
rnacentral:rRNA from 1 species